ACUAAUUAAAAAACAAGGGGCAGGACAUCCUGCCCUCCCGAUUGUUGUGACAGCACGGACAGACUAUACGGUGGCUGGUCGUUCCCCAGCCGCCGCGAAUACCGAAACAGGCUGCACAAUGAUCUUCGAGGGUAGCGAUGCUACCCUUUUUUUCCAGGAGUCA
rfam:Raoultella planticola strain GCSL-DIFS-295 CFSAN029441_contig0326, whole genome shotgun sequence.